rnacentral:pre_miRNA from 1 species
GGGUUGAGCCAAGGAUGACUUGCCGCGCAUAUAUGUAUGCCUAUCGUUUGUUUGAACGUAGAGGAUUUUCGUGGCAAGCAUCCUUGGCUCUACUU